rnacentral:tRNA from 1 species
AGACAAGAGGUGUUAACACGCUCCGGCUUCGAACCGGAGAGAGAAAUAAAUUCCUUGCCUU